rnacentral:rRNA from 1 species
GACGAACGCUGGCGGCGUGCUUAACACAUGCAAGUCGAACGGAAAGGCCCUGCUUUUGUGGGGUGCUCGAGUGGCGAACGGGUGAGUAACACGUGAGUAACCUGCCCUUGACUUUGGGAUAACUUCAGGAAACUGGGGCUAAUACCGGAUAGGAGCUCCUGCUGCAUGGUGGGGGUUGGAAAGUUUCGGCGGUUGGGGAUGGACUCGCGGCUUAUCAGCUUGUUGGUGGGGUAGUGGCUUACCAAGGCUUUGACGGGUAGCCGGCCUGAGAGGGUGACCGGCCACAUUGGGACGGAGAUACGGCCCAGACUCCUACGGGAGGCAGGAGUGGGGAAUAUUGAACAAGGGGCGGAAGCCUGAUGCAGCAACGCCGCGUGCGGGAUGACGGCCUUCGGGUGGUAAACCGCUUUCGCCUGUGACGAAGGGUAAGUAACGGUAAGGGGUAAGGAAGCACCGGCUAACUACGU